rnacentral:rRNA from 1 species
CCUACGGGAGGCAGCAGUGGGGGAUAUUGCACAAUGGGGGGAACCCUGAUGCAGCGACGCCGCGUGGGGGAAGAAGCGCCUAGGCGCGUAAAGCCCUGUCAGCAGGGAAGAAAAUGACGGUACCUGAAGCAGAAGCCCCGGCUAAAUACGUGAAAGCAGCCGCGGUAAUACGGAGGGGGCAAGCGUUAUCCGGAUUUCCUGGGGGUAAAGGGGGCGCAGACGGCGAUGCAGGCCAGGAGUGAAAGCCCGGGGCCCAACCCCGGGACUGCUGUUGGAACUGCGUGGCUGGAGUGCAGGAGGGGCACGCGGAAUUCCUGGUGUAGCGGUGAAAUGCGUAGAUAUCAGGAGGAACACCGGUGGCGAAGGCGGCCUGCUGGACUGCAACUGACGUUGAGGCCCGAAAGCGUGGGGAGCAAACAGGAUUAGAUACCCUAGUAGUC